rnacentral:rRNA from 1 species
AGUGAACGCUGGCGGUAGGCCUAACACAUGCAAGUCGAACGGCAGCACAGUAAGAGCUUGCUCUUACGGGUGGCGAGUGGCGGACGGGUGAGGAAUACAUCGGAAUCUACUUUUUCGUGGGGGAUAACGUAGGGAAACUUACGCUAAUACCGCAUACGACCUACGGGUGAAAGCAGGGGAUCUUCGGACCUUGCGCGAUUGAAUGAGCCGAUGUCGGAUUAGCUAGUUGGCGGGGUAAAGGCCCACCAAGGCGACGAUCCGUAGCUGGUCUGAGAGGAUGAUCAGCCACACUGGAACUGAGACACGGUCCAUACUCCUACGGGAGGCGGCAGUGGGGAAUAUUGGACAAUGGGCGCAAGCCUGAUCCAGCCAUACCGCGUGGGUGAAGAAGGCCUUCGGGUUGUAAAGCCCUUUUGUUGGGAAAGAAAAGCAGCAGGUUAAUACCCCGCUGUUCUGACGGUACCCAAAGAAUAAGCACCGGCUAACUUCGUG